AUACAGAUUAACAGGGGAGAACGGAAGUAGAACAGGGGACAAAUGACUUUCUGGGAAAAUUUCUUUGUUGGUGGUCACUAGGUGCAAUAAUGUAUGAGAUGCUUGUUGGAUAACCUCCAUUUUAUUCAGAUGAUCCGAUAACUGCAUGUAAAAAGGUGUUGGUUUAGAUAAGCCAAACGAAUGGGGAUUUGAUACUACACAGGUUGAUAAUAUUCUCAAAAAGUUGAAAGUGAGGAUGAUGAUGAAGAAACAGGCUUACCAAAGGACAAUAGUGAAAAAACUACACGUCCCCAAGGAAGGUCAUUUUCUUGCUCAAAAUCGAAUUUAAUUCUAAAUUGUUCAUUAU